GGGAUAGAAGCUCAGUGGUUGAGCAAUCGAUUGCAGCUUUCUGCGUGAUUUCAGUAGCGCAAAUCUUACGUAAUCGAUAGGCCGCGUGUUCGAUCCACGCCUGUCCCU